rnacentral:lncRNA from 1 species
GCUAUUUUCUGUGGAACAUAGUAGCCUUUUUCAGCAUCUCUUGGAGCAGACAAGGUAAGGCUCACCCUUAUGCCCUCCCAAGGGUGCCCUCAUCCUGAUUCCAUUGGCUAUAGAGUCCAGAACUCCUGUUAGGCUUAAAUAUCAUAACUCUACCAUGAUGGACAGGAUGAGCUACAUCCCAGCAAAUAAAAGUUGUGCUAAUAAAGAAACACUUAAGGGCCCAGGCAGAUGUAAUAAGUGACUUGGAAGGGCAUGAACGUCACAAUGAGAAGCUGCCUAGGAUUCUGUGAGGAUUACUAUGGCUUCUUGAAGCUCCACUUUGGUGGACUUUUUAUUCAUUUGGAUUGCAUUUACUUGGCUGUACCAUAGAGAAUGUUGUUCUAUGGAGAGUACAAAAUUUAUAAUAUUAAUGUUGCGUAAUCGUGUUAUCUGCCAUUACAUAGCUGUUUAAGAUGAUGAAAGCUAUCUCAGCCUGCACAU